CCUACGGGAGGCUGCAGUGAGGAAUAUUGGUCAAUGGGCUUACGCCUGAACCAGCCAAGUCGCGUGAGGGAAGACUGCCCUAUGGGUUGUAAACCUCUUUUGUCAGGGAGCAACGCCGGCUACGUGUAGCCGGACGGAGAGGACCUGAAGAAAAAGCAGCGGCUAACUCCGUGCCAGCAGCCGCGGUAAUACGGAGGAUGCGAGCGUUAUCCGGAUUUAUUGGGUUUAAAGGGUGCGUAGGCGGAAUGCCAAGUCAGCGGUAAAAUCGCGGGGCUCAACCUCGCUCCGCCGUUGAAACUGGCGUUCUUGAGUGGGCGAGAAGUCUGCGGAAUGCGUGGUGUAGCGGU
rnacentral:rRNA from 1 species